CCUAAAACACCUCAAGUAGAACACCUGACCGGCAGCCAAUCAGAGCCAUCUAACCUAGGGCUGACUCCGCCUCAGCCUCAGCCCACGCCAGAGGACACAGGGGUCUACAUGAGCUCCAUACUGCUCCAGGGUGAGACCACCUCUCAGAAGAGACGCUAUUCUUUUCUUUUGGACUUAAAGCAUGAAGGCUCCCAGGCUGAGCUGGCAGCCGGGCCACCAUGCAAAGAUGUUUUUCUGGAAGUUGCACCCUCUUGGAGAAAAGCAGAGCCUCUUUACCAAGGGAGUUGUGAUCUCCUGGGUCCAGCUGUGCUUGAAGCAAGUGUCGCUGGACCUCCAAUUAUGUGAGCUAACACUUGGCUUUUUCUUGCUAAAACCAAUUUGAGUUCUUUGGGUAUAUAGGGUGCGCAUGCUGGGCUCCGGCCUGACACUUCCGAUCCAGGAGGCCUGCAGGAUGGGUCCCCCUCAUGUACUCUCUCCCCAAACUUCUGCCUCUUCCGUGCUGCAGGGGAGCCCGCUGCAUGGUGGACUUGGUGUCUUCUGAGGCGGUGGUGUGAAGAUUUGGCUUCCUGGUGCUUCCUUGCAGUGAGGGGGGACUGAGGGUUCAGUCUCGGCUUCUAUUGAUGAGGAUGCUGCAAAAUCUGGAGCUGCCAGUCUCCCAGACUCUCAGAAGGGAACAAACACCACUGGGCCCUGAAUCCAGCUUCCCUGGAUCUUGGAUCCCCAGCCUGAAGCAGCAGGGGCACCCACAGCAUGGGUGUCCAGGGAAUGCCUGUCUCAACCAUACCCAACUCUUACAGGAGACUCCCGGUACAGGUGGAGCAGAUGGCUAUGGUGGCCAGGGACAAAGGCACAGUGACCUGGAGCCCCACAUUCCAGCUGUGCCCUAGAGAGUGUCAAGGGCACACUCUUAGUAGAUAAGGCACAGAGCCAGCCUAGUCUUAAGCAGGCCAAGGAUAGAGCCUGUGAGGCUGUCUGUACAGGCCCUGGGCUUCUAGUGAGUGGCUUAGGGCUCUAAAUGGUCACACCCAUCUUACCAGAGUGAUCUCUCCCUGGGAGGUACAAGACGUCCAGCUGGAAUGCUGUGCCAGCUGUGCUGACACAACAGGUGUGUCGCCGUGUGCCAAGCUCUAUGCUGGUACUAAAAAGACGAAGAAAAGGCUGUCUCCACUGCAACCCUGCAGCAGAUCCUCAGGGCGAGUGGCCCCACUCACCCAAGCACACCUCAACAGAGGAGGGCUCUAGGGGUCCUUUGGGUGCCUGCAUCACACUGGCACUGGCUGGGUGUUGUGACAAUGUCAUCAAGGACUGUUCGUGUGGAUGAGAGCGUCCCUAAGAUAAUCCAGUUCUGAGCUGACAACAACUAGAGAGAGAGACACCAUGCCGUUCCGUCACCGCCGUGCUUACAUGGCUGACGCCGGGGCUGCCUGUCCUCACUGAGGACAUCUUUUCGCCUCAGAUGACAAGCAGAGGUGAGUCAUUGCCAUCCCGGGGUGAGAUGUUCUGUCACAGAAUGUUCUCCAUGGUUAGGCAAAGGCGAGCCUGCCAGGAACCAUUUUCCUCAUCAACUUGAUAGAAGCGGCACUGACGAGCCGUGCGCCUGGGAGUGUGCCGAAGAACGUGUGCCCAGCUGCAGACGGGAGCUAGGUAGGAGCAGCCUAGCCUGCUGCCCUCUGUAGUGCUCAACCAAUUAUUCUUUGAUAGAUAUGUGUUAUAUAUUACACACACACACACACACACACACACACACACACACGCGCGCGCGCGCGCGCGCGCGACUCCCAGACCCACCACGUGACUAUUUCAUUAUUCUUUGCUUUAGAAGAGUGAAAAAGAGAAAGGGAAGGAAGGAGGAAAAGGAGACCCAGGAACUUUGUAUCCCCUCACCCACUUCCCAUAGGUCACCUUGAGUAGGAGGUCACUUAGCAAAUUAGUAUGAUGCCUGUGUUGUACGAAGCGUGGAGUUCCUGAACCUCAGUUACACGCAGGCUUGGACAGGCUUGUCUGGAUGGGAGCUCCCUCCAUCCCCUCUCGUCCUGUUCAGGUGCCAUCACUAGACUCUACUGCCUUCGUGGUACCCUCUUGUCCCCACUUGUCAAGACCAGUUCUCAGGAUCUUCGUGUACCUCUUACAGGUCCUGGAGCUACCUCAGCAGGAGCUGCAUGCAGCUAUGAUGUGGAGCUCAACACAGCCACGACUGUUUUGUUCUUUUUUUCUUCUAGUGUGUCUUUUUUAUUUAUUUUUUAUCAGCUUCUCUAAGGCUUUGUAUUUUAUGUCACAAGUUUAAUUUCUUAAUUUCUUGCUCACUUUGUCAGCUGUCAUUGUUCGUCCUGGGGAUGGGAUGAAAAUGCAAUAACUACUGGAGGGAGUCACACAGUCCACAUUUCUUGUGCCCCCACAUUGUCAGCAGGGACAAUCUGGCCCCACAGGCCACCAGCAGGACCUGGCAGUUAUUCUCCCAAGGACAGAAGCAGGAGCCAAGGCCACGGGCACCUUCUUUUCUCACAGGGUCAACUAACCCUGUUGAACCCAAAGGGAGAAAUUUGCGUGGUGGGGAUAAGAAAAGCCAAGGAGCUGCGGUGAGUCUGUCUUCUGUCCCUGGGGAUGUAUGGCUGUAAGCUCUCGAGCAGAACAGGAGCUGAGACCACUGUUCCCUUCUACAGCUUGAUCUCUGGACUGUGACUGGAACCCAUGUGGGCUCUCCAAGCCACUGUCCUGAGGACUAUUCAAGGGACACAAGUGGGGUCCCUUAACUUAGAUGGACUCGUGUUUGUUAAGCACAGUUUGAACCUCUGUCCACCUGUGUGAUGUUCCAUUUGGACCAAGACUGCUUCCUGUCCUGGAUUCUUCUUUGCCAGAAUCAUGGGAGAUGCCCUGUCAGUCAACGGGCGCUGAGAAUCAUGGGAGAUGCCCUGCCAUCCAACGGGUGCUGAGAAUCAUGGGAGAUGCCCUGCCAUCCAACGGGUGCUGAGAAUCAUGGGAGAUGCCCUGCCAGUCAAUGGGUGCUGAGAAUCAUGGGAGAUGCCCAGCCGUCCAAUGAGUGCUGAGAAUCAUGGGAGAUGCCCUGCUAUUCAAUGGGUGCUGAGAAUCAUGGGAGAUGCCCUGUCAGUCAAUGGGUGCUGAGAAUCAUGGGAGACGCCCUGCCGUCCAAUGGGUGCUGAGAAUCAUGGGAGACGCCCUGCCGUCCAAUGGGUGCUGAGAAUCAUGGGAGACGCCCUGCCGUCCAAUGGGUGCUGAACUGAUUCUACAUGGCUCUCUCUCACCUAGAUGUGUUGGGUGGUUGGGAGGGGUAGGGUUGACAGCUGCCUGAUGUGCCUCUCUGAGUCUAUACCCAGCACCCACUCCAGUCCUGCUCUAGAGUCACAGAAAACACAGGAGUUACUGGAUAGUCAGUCGGUAGUGAUGCUGGGGACACACAUUUUGUAGUGUUUGAUGGAGAAAUUCAGCUAAGGAGAUCCAGGUGACUGGGGGAGGGAAGGCUCUGGUGUCAUGUCAGCAGUCCCUUGUCUCUCAUGGCAGCUGAGCUGACAUCUUGAACAAGCUGGUCUCUUUAGAACAAACUGCACAAACCUGAGACUCUGGUCCAAGAACAAAGAGAAACGAGCCCCAGAGCCACAUCCAGGAAGCCCACAGCCCAGAGGGGAAGAGUCUGAGAUAAUGAAGACAGGCCAGCAUCAGCUAUGCUCAGGUGGCAGCAUGCUGGGGCAGGUCCUGUGGCCAGGAACCACUCUUGCCAUCAUCCUGGUGACUGUCAAGGGCCCCAGCUUGAACAAGAUUUUUAUGUGAUUACCUUUGUUCCAGUGUAUCACAAAAAAGUCCACAGGGGUGCCCCCUCUCUUCAGAAAACAGACCACAAAAUGCCCAUCUUCCUACUCAAAUGAAUUAAAAGAGACUUCAUUUUCCCAGAGGACUCUUUUUUUUUUCUCUCUUUUAAUUGCAAUAAAAGAAAGCCUGUAAUUUGCCAGACCACACUGCUAGCCCCCUCCUCCAGUGCCAGUGUGCUGGCCGCACGAUCAUGCUUCUUUUACAAAAUGAGGCUUCGUCUCAGGCACACACCAGGGCUUGGAACAAAGUGCCCUUUAGAGCUCCGGAGCCCGAGCAACAGUGCCGUGGCUGACGCACAGCCAGGCGGAUGGCAGCGUGGUGCAGAUGGAGGGUGCCCACCCGCUGGCUGUGUCGCCCCUGGGCUUCUGGAAAGUGGCUGGCGGAGGAAACAACAGAUGGGAAGGCUGGUGCUCUGCUCCUCAGAAGAGCAAUUCUUGCUUCUGGCGGGAGGAAGGUGGGGUGCCCCUACCCCAACAGGGGCAUGCACCUGUGCAGAGGGUCACUGAGCAGCUGACGUGAGGAGAACAAGGGUGACGUCACCAGUGACGGCUGAAGAGGGACCGUCAUGAAGUACGACCUGAGAGGGAAGAAAAGGUCUGUGAGGGGACACUCAAGGUGAGAGCCGCCCUCCCCACCCCAGGACAUUUUCAACGUGGAAAGCAAAUGGAGACGUGGGAACAGUGAUUCACAACGCUAAAUGGUGCCUGAGUUAAGCAGGGGAGGGCACUUGCCUGCGGUGUGGGUUGUCAGUGUUUUCAAGAGGAUCCGCUGCCCCGAAGUCCUUUGUGUCCUUUGCUCACUGGGGUUCAUCUUGUGCAAGGAGACAAAGCAGGUUAUGGGUGGGUUCUGGGGGGUUGGAAACUGCAAGUGUUCCAUUAGGAGGCAGCCACCAGCUCCCUGCCGUCUCCCUGCCUAGGACAGAGCUGGUUAAGUAAGAGAGAGCUUAAAAAACUCUCAUGCCGUUGUCAAAUAAAGCAACCAUGACUUCAGGUCCUAUAAUGGCUGCCCCUCCUCCCUGCUCACCAAGGGACCAACCCCAGGUCCUCACUAAGACCUUGUCUGCUCAACACAUGAGCGGGGACAGCUCUCCAGAGUCCAAGCAGGCCAGCCCUGCUCUCUUACCCUAAAGGAGAGGUGACACAGCUCCAAGCAUUGUCACCAAAACCCAAUAAAACCCAGGACUUAGAACCUCAAGAAGGAUUCUGCUGCUGAGCUGACCCGGGUGGACCCUGUCAUUCAUAGUACCGUGCUUGCUUUUUGCUGGAGGCCUCUGUAAGGGGCCACUUCGUCUCCUCAGCACCACUGUGGUAGAGCGCCCCCACCAGCAGGUGUGAACACUGUCUGUCACUUCGCUGCUGCUGGGUUCCAUCUUUUGUUGAUAUUUGAAGGAAGACGAUGCUGUUUGCUUCCAUCCGUUGGACUCAGCGGUACAUGCUGCUCCUGUGGUCGUACACAUCCAAUGUCUCUAGGACCCCAGUCCUAUCCUCACUCUGCUAGAUUAUCAUCUAAAGGACCAGGAUGGCCAGGGCAUUCGAGAUGGGGUUGGGUGUUGGAGUGACAGUUCCCAGGGAAGGGGAAACUGAAUCUCUCUUAGAAAGAGAUCUGGAUGGGUCGGUCAGAUGAUGGAAUCUGGCUUCAGCUCUCCUUGAGGUAUAGUCAAGUUGUCUAUCCAUGUUGGAUUCUGUCCCCAUCUCUGUGGAAAUGGGAAGGGCUGAACAGGCACGAUGCCAUCUUAGGACCUAAGGAGACAACUUCUUUUAAUACGUGGAAUUGGCUAGUUUUGUUUAUAAGUAAAGAGAGAUGUGGAAGAAGUGGUACCCAAGCCACUUCAAGACCCCCAUUCGGGGCAGGAUAGAGUUGCUGCAGUCACUCAGAGCCACCCAGGCCUCCUGCAGAGCCAUCUGUGACAUUCCAUGUUCCUGGUGACUAAGGUCCUAGGGGACUCUGUGCAGAGGGGGUCUGAUGGCCUGAGCAGGAAGUGGGGGUUGUAUGUAGAUGUUGAGACAGAGGAGAAGAAGGCCACCGAGGGCUUUCUGCCUGGGCAUGUUAGAUCUGCUUCUAGACAGCUGUGUGUGCCCUCCCCUGUGCAGAGGCGAAAACUGAGGCACACAGAGGUCACAAAGCUGACAACAUGGGAUGUCACUCAGCGAUGGAUCCUCAAAGGAGACCCUGUGGCCACCAAGGCAAGGCUGACUUCAGCUUCCAGAUGUCCAGAUACCUACGUCUCCCCCGAGAGUCCCAUGAUACUUGCCUUGUGUUUCAGGAAAGCCAAAGAUAAGCAUGUACCUGUUACAUGUGGGUCUAGUCCUUGUACCCAUGAGUACAUGGGCAAAGGAGCUGGGCCAUGUCACUGCUGGCAAAAGAUUUUUUCUUUCUUCUGUAACUCUAAGCACCUAAGGAAUGCUGCGGUCACACAAGCCAGUUCAUUUAUUAGGAUAAAACCACAAGGAAAUGACCUUGUUCAGGGACCUUGGGCAUGGCCUCUGCUGGGAAUGGAAUGGCAAUAAGUUGACUCCUCGUCCCAGUGAGUGACAGGGAAGGCCUGGGGCACAGGGCACAGCCGGGCAUGCCGCUCCCUUUUGAGAAGUCCUGAGAGUCAGGGCCUGAAGGCACACAACUGGGUCGCAGGAAGUGGAUCUCUGGGUCUGUAAGUCUGUCUAGAAGCCAGCAAGUCGCCCCCAAUCCCAGGCUGGACCUCUGCCCACCUUGAAUUCCUGCUUUCUAAGCCUCAGCUUCUUCGUUUGCUGCCAACACCUGGGCAGAUUUUCCGAUGCUCCAGGCCUUCCUCACUGGUCUGGGCCACCUCCCAGACCCCGGGAUGUCACAGAAGUACCAAGACAUGUUUCCUACUUUGUACCUCCAAGAUGCAAUACAAACUCUCCAGUGCACACGUCUCUGGUGGCUCUGCACCCUGCUCUUCUUUUUCUGUGAGGACACUAGGCAGAUUGGAUCAGAUGCUCCCCCCUCCCUCUACAGGGACUCUAGGUUACCUGAAUUACCCACAAAAGCCCUGUGUCCAGAGUCAUCUUUGGAUUCCUGGUAAAUCAGAGGAACAAAGGAAUUACAAAUUACAGGAAUGGAAAGAAAGCCACGCCACAGACUCGCCCCGGGGGCUUCUCCAGCUGGCGUGGGAGCUGUCCGUGAAGCUGAAUCCUUCAGCCUUCCCAGACUCAGCCAGGGUCAUCGGGAGUCAGGGCUCCCUGCAGCUCCCAGCCACAGAGCCAACUCCACAUGUGAUAACAAACAGUUUAAUUAACCUCUCGGCUUUUUCCAUCUGUGUGGCAGGGCUCCAAAUACUUGCCACUGGGAAGCCGUGAAUGGACGCCUUCCACCAGGACGGACCACAGCAAAGCUGCAAUGCCGUGUGCAGUGCGAAAGGAGAUGACUAUAGUCGGUAAGCACGGUCCUUGCAGAUGUGCCUCAUCCACACCCUUAGACACCCUGUGCACCCUCCUCAAUCCUGGGUAGAUCCCUCAAAGCUUCACCCACACAGUGCAGUGGUCUGUGGGGCCCAAGUCCUGGCCAGUUUUGACUUCCUCUUUCUGUAAGUAGGGGGGGUGCUGCUGGGUCCCCUUUCUCCAAGGCAGCAGGGUUCUCAGCGGGAAUCCAGCCUUAC